UAGGGAAUCUUCCGCAAUGGACGAAAGUCUGACGGAGCAACGCCGCGUGAGUGAGGAAGGUCUUCGGAUCGUAAAGCUCUGUUGCCAGGGAAGAAUGGAGAAGAGAAUAACUGCUCUUCUCGUGACGGUACCUGAGAAGAAAGCCCCGGCUAACUACGUGCCAGCAGCCGCGGUAAUACGUAGGGGGCAAGCGUUGUCCGGAAUCAUUGGGCGUAAAGGGCGCGUAGGCGGCUCUUCAAGUCUGGUGUAUAAGCCUGGGGCUUAACCCCGGGAGGCACUGGAAACUAGGGAGCUUGAGUGCAGGAGAGGGGAGUGGAAUUCCACGUGUAGCGGUGAAAUGCGUAGAGAUGUGGAGGAACACCAGUGGCGAAGGCGACUCUCUGGACUGUAACUGACGCUGAGGCGCGAAAGCGUGGGGAGCGAACA
rnacentral:rRNA from 1 species